rfam:Candidatus Thrbacteria bacterium RIFCSPLOWO2_02_FTLL_48_12 rifcsplowo2_02_scaffold_11521, whole genome shotgun sequence.
GCUCCCAUAGCUCAACAGGAUAGAGCCGCGGACUCCUAAGCCGCAGAUCUCCGUUCAAGUCGGAGUGGGAGCA